ACGUACAGCAGCCGUACACCUGUCUCUACGCGAUUUAUGAAUCGCGCACAGUUUCAGCUCAACAGCAAGAAGCGUUUGAGGCCGUGAUUAUUCACAGCAAGGCGCGCAUUAAUUAAACGGUCCCAAUCUGUAUGCUAAUUUUCUCGUCACUAGCAUGCAUCUAUCUCGUGCUCACAGCCUUUCCGCGUGUGCUGGAAUGGAGAGGCAUAGACUUGCUAUAAGAAAUGCUAUAAGAUGCUAUAAGAAAGCUGCACGACGGAUGAAGCAGUAAGACGCGGUUAUAAUAGGCUUGCAAAUGGCUGCGUCACAGAUCCUCGGAUGCACUAGAAACGUGACAGAGUAGCAGUUGAGCCUGCAGUGCCUCCUGAGAUGGAUGAGUUUUUCAAAACUGGCCCCACCAUCUUCUGCUGCGCCACACCCCCAGACGUCUGGGGCUGCACCACACCCCCAGACGAUGGGAACCUCUCCAGGUACUACACACACAGUGCCGACUUCUGUUACCAUUGAGCGAUCUGCCAAAUUGUGCAGAGUUAAAUAUAUUUUAAAGUUCUUGAACUAGACUCACGCACAUAUAAAACUGGCCACUUGUUAAUGCUAUGUCCAUCCCACAAAGUUUCACUGACAUUAGUGGCAGUCUUUCAGAGUUCAGCGCUGUCAGUGUCUGCUCCCGCCCACAGGUAAACUGUGGAACACUCGCAGGGCUCAGGUCAGGUGACUCUGGGCAGCACUGUGCUGGUCUGUGGUGCAGGUAAACUGUGGAACACUCGCAGGGCUCAGGUCAGGUGACUCUGGGCAGCACUGUGCUGGUCUGUGGUGCAGGUAAACUGUGGAACACUCGCAGGGCUCAGGUCAGGUGACUCUGGGCAGCACUGUGCUGGUCUGUGGUGCAGGUAAACUGUGGAACACUCGCAGGGCUCAGGUCAGGUGACUCUGGGCAGCACUGUGCUGGUCUGUGGUGCAGGUAAACUGUGGAACACUCACAGGGCUCAGGUCAGGUGACUCUGGGCAGCACUGUGCUGGUCUGUGGUGCAGGUAAACUGUGGAACACUCGCAGGGCUCAGGUCAGGUGACUCUGGGCAGCACUGUGCUGGUCUGUGGUGCAGGUAAACUGUGGAACACUCACAGGGCUCAGGUCAGGUGACUCUGGGCAGCACUGUGCUGGUCUGUGGUGCAGGUAAACUGCGGAACUGCCGCAGGGCGCCGGCCAUUCCACCUGCAUCAUUAGCUGCCAGUAUGGAACUGCUGCCAGGUCUGUUAACAGGCCUCAUUGUUGUGGCGCAUAUCAGCAGACCCAGGGCAGAUAAGUUUGUUCCUCCCAUGUUCAGAACAACCCACCAAUCAUUAAAAUCCUGCAUAAGUCACUAGCUGGAAUAUAUUUUAUUUAAAAAGGCACUGUGUUGAUAACAGGAGUGCCAAGGAUGGCUUGUGGUUGGCACCGUCUCUAGCAGUCCUGUUUUAUUUCCCUAAAAAGAGCAAUAUUUUUGAGAAUCCUAUCAGCUACAGAUUGCUCACCUCCCCGUCACACAUAGCUGCACCCUUCAACUAAACACUGCAGCACCGAAAGAUUAAUUCUGUAUCUCACUGUUUUCCCGCAUAUCAGAAUUUUCAGGAAGUGAACAGCGAGUAAGAGUGGUUAAGUCUUUAAUCCUCUUAUAGCACUUUCCUCUACAUGCUGCUUCACUGGAAGCGGUGAACAUAUUGAAAAAGUCGUCACCUCAUUUUAUUCUUUUCAUGCACAUUAUGUGCGACGUUGCCACACACUGUCAUUUUGUUUAAUAGUUUUACAAUGUUUUAUAUUUUCCUUGGCCUUAUUUAACUAUAACAACAUCCCUUCCUCUGAAUUUCAUCACAGGACCAAUUGGGCUGGUCUGCUUGCUGGUUGCUAAGGCGAUGGGUGCAUCACAGGUGGUGAUAAGUGGACCAAUUGGGCUGGUCUGCUUGCUGGUUGCUAAGGCGAUGGGUGCAUCACAGGUGGUGAUAAGUGGUGAGGAAGGGAAAUCUGAUGGGUGUCUGCCAUAUUCAUUGUGAUAUCAGUUGUCUCGCAAUUGUGCGAUAACAGUGGAAGACAUUUUGCUACAUUGUCUGCCAAUAACAACAUCUAAUCAAAGUAGUCUGAACAAAGUUGUUCAGUAGCAUUGCUCAGGGUUAGGGGGUGUUCAGUAGCAUUGCCCAGGGUUAGGGAGUGUUCAGUAGCAUUGCUCAGGGUUAGGGGGUGUUCAGUAGCAUUGCCCAGGGUUAGGGGGUAUUCAGUAGCAUUGCUCAGGGUUAGGGGGUGUUCAGUAGCAUUGCACAGGGUUAAAGAGUGUUCAGUUGGGAUCUCACCCCUCUAAUGACCCCCACUAGUUGAUCAGGUGCCCACUGUGUGCUUGCUAAAGCUACCCAUUCGGCUUCUUCCUCCACUCAUGUAUGUGGUGUGAAAAGAAGUGGCUGGUCACAUGCUUCAGAGGGGAACGUGUGCUUAUCUACACUGUCCUGUGCAGCAAGAGCACAGCUGUGUAUGAUUGGACUUUCCAAAUUGGGGGAAAAAAUGGGGAAGUUUUGUGCUUUGUUUGGAUGACUGUUACGUCUCUCAAGGUGUCUAGGGGUAGGAGGGAGUACGUAACGUAUAUAGCAAAGUAAAGUGUCCGGGUGAAAAGGUGUUCAGCACGUUUAGGGUAAAUAAUCAGGUCAGGCAAGGUUGCAGGUGAUAUUAAAGGUGUUAUUAUUAUAAGAGUGCAAGUGAAGUGAUAUAUACAUGUGUUACAAGUUUACACAAAACAAAGACACAACUAGGUCACAAGGCCAAGGGACAUGGAUGUAGCCAAAGAAAUGAAAUAAACAAAACCAAACAGCGCUAGAACAAAUGAUAAUCUGACUAGCUAUGCAAAACAAAAGACUGUCUAUCUAACUACUCUUACAAACCAAAAUACACAGUUGGCAACCACCCCUUUUCUAAUGUGUCCAUACAAGUUUCCUCCUGAGUGUAGGCCUCUCUCGUACCUGCCCCAGGGCCUGAACCACACGCAGACAACCACACAUACACAAGCAGGGGAAACGUUUACACGCACAACACAGGUCUCUAAAUCUCUACCACACAUACACAACCACACAGCAAAAACAAACAGAGAUCAAAUGACAGAGAGAGGAGCAGCAGCAGCAGCCACGCAGCUUUUAUCUUCCAGAGGAGGGAUGUGAUUGGUGGAGGCGGGACCAGGUUAACGAUGAUUGACAGCGGAGACAGCGAAUGGGAUGAUGAUUGGCUCUCCUGCAGCCUUACAGAGGGGAAAAAAAAAAAACACACACGACGUGGAACGUAACAAUGACCCACCAAUUAGCACAGUUUAAAUUAAAGCUUUGCACCUAUUGAAAUGUACAAUUCAUUCUGCUAAUGCUCCACAACAAA